GACGAACGCUGGCGGCGUGCUUAACACAUGCAAGUCGAACGGAAAGGCCCUGCUUUUGUUGGGUGCUCGAGUGGCGAACGGGUGAGUAACACGUGAGUAACCUGCCCCUGACUUUGGGAUAACUUCAGGAAACUGGGGCUAAUACCGGAUAGGAGCUCCUGCUGCAUGGUGGGGGUUGGAAAGUUUCGGCGGUUGGGGAUGGACUCGCGGCUUAUCAGCUUGUUGGUGGGGUAGUGGCUUACCAAGGCUUUGACGGGUAGCCGGCCUGAGAGGGUGACCGGCCACAUUGGGACUGAGAGACGGCGCAGACUCCUACGGGAGGCAGCAGUGGGGAAUAUUGCACAAUGGGCGGAAGCCUGAUGCAGCAACGCCGCGUGCGGGAUGACGGCCUUCGGGUUGUAAACCGCUUUCGCCUGUGACGAAGCGUGAGUGACGGUAAUGGGUAAAGAAGCACCGGCUAACUACGUG
rnacentral:rRNA from 1 species